AAUGUAUGUUUACCUGAAGGACGCUGCAAUGUGACCCUAAAGAUUGAAGGAUUGAAGGAUUGAAGGAAGGAAUGAAGUAAAGGAAGGAAGGAAAGCGUCAAUAGUAAAGCUGCUAAAUGGUGUUCACGCAUGCAAUCAGUGAACAUUCAAUUUGGGGAGGUGCAGAGCUAGAAACGUGGCCUUAGAUAUGAACACCAUCAACAAAGACCGAGCAUGAUGUAUUCCUCCGCGUGACGUCACAGCUACACAAGGUUUCGGCAUCGUGCAUUGAACUUUCUCCUGGAAGAAUAAAGAGGAAGUGAUACAUUAUGAGAAGGAAGGGAGAAGUUUUGUAAGCCACCAGGAAGGAAGAC